AGCGCAGGCGGUGCGGCAAGCCUGAUGUGAAAGCCCGGGGCUCAACCCCGGUACUGCAUUGGAAACUGUCGUACUAGAGUGUCGGAGGGGUAAGCGGAAUUCCUAGUGUAGCGGUGAAAUGCGUAGAUAUUAGGAGGAACACCAGUGGCGAAGGCGGCUUACUGGACGAUAACUGACGCUGAGGCUCGAAAGCGUGGGGAGCAAACA
rnacentral:rRNA from 1 species